rnacentral:sRNA from 1 species
UAACCUCGCGAACGGCAUUCAAAUUAAG